ACCUGCAUCGAAAGUGAUUAGGGUUUCUAUUGUGGCCCAAUCAUUGAUACUGCAGGAAGAGCAAAAUGUAAAAGCUUUUCCCGUGUUUGGUGAGUGACUUUGUAUCAACCAAACCCUGUGACUUUUGCACA
rnacentral:snoRNA from 1 species